rnacentral:rRNA from 1 species
AGUGAACGCUGGCGGCAGGCCUAACACAUGCAAGUCGAACGGCAGCACAGUAAGAGCUUGCUCUUACGGGUGGCGAGUGGCGGACGGGUGAGGAAUACAUCGGAAUCUACUUUUUCGUGGGGGAUAACGUAGGGAAACUUACGCUAAUACCGCAUACGACCUACGGGUGAAAGCAGGAGAUCUUCGCACCUUGCGCGAUUGUAUGAGCCGAUGUCGGAUUAGCUAGUUGGCGGGGUAAAGGCCCACCAAGGCGACGAUCCGUAGCUGGUCUGAGAGGAUGAUCGGCCACACUGGAACUGAGACACGGUCCAGACUCCUACGGGAGGCAGCAGUGGGGAAUAUUGGACAAUGGGCGCAAGCCUGAUCCAGCCAUACCGCGUGGGUGAAGAAGGCCUUCGGGUUGUAAAGCCCUUUUGUUGGGAAAGAAAAGCAGCAGGUUAAUACCCCGCUGUUCUGACGGUACCCAAAGAAUAAGCACCGGCUAACUUCGUG